CCCUUAGAUGUUCUGGGCCGCCCGCGCGCUACACUGAUGCAUUCAACGAGUUUCUUCCUGGUCCGAGAGGAAUGGGUAACCUUUUGAAAGUGCAUCGUGAUAGGGAUAGACUAUUGCAAUUAUUGGUCUUCAACGAGGAAUUCCUAGUAGACGUAGUUCAUCAGACUGCAUCGAUUACGUCCCUGCCCUUUGUACACACCGCCCGUCGCUCCUACCGAUUGAAUGCUCAGGUGAGCCAUUCGGACUUUCAUCAUGCUGGUUUCCAGUUUUGAUGAAGGAAAGUCUUGCGAACCUUAUCAUUUAGAGGAAGGAGAAGUCGUAACA
rnacentral:rRNA from 1 species